rnacentral:rRNA from 1 species
CAAUAGCGUAUAUUUAAGUUGCUGCAGUUAAAAAGCUCGUAGUUGGAUUUCGGGUGGGAAUGGCCGGUCCGCCGUUUCGGUGUGCACUUGCUACGCCCACCUUGCUGCCGGGGACGUGCUCUUGAGUUCACGCUCGGGACACGGAGUCGGCGAGGUUACUUUGAGUAAAUUAGAGUGUUCAAAGCAGGCCUACGCUCUGAAUACAUUAGCAUAGAAUAACACGAUAGGACUCUGGCCUAUCUUGUUGGUCUGUAGGACCGGAGUAAUGAUUAAGAGGGACAGUCGGGGGCAUUCGUAUUUACAUGUCAGAGGUGAAAUUCUUGGAUUUUGGAAAGACGAACUACUGCGAAAGCAUUUACCAAGGAUGUUUUCAUUAA